GUUGAGAUUCAUUGAACCAAUCAAGUACCAUCUAAGGGUUGCAAAAUUCCGCUUCUGGAGUGACCUGAAUAUUGUAAACCGGGUUGUAAAAUGAAACAGUACCAGAAUCCCAUAUUGUAAAUAGUCAGCAGCAGAUGAACAACAACACAAACAAACCAACAAACUAGAGGUGAAAGGUUAUUAAAACAAACAAAUAUAAGAUAUGGUCCGUAUUUGAAAUGGAAAGUCCUCACACCAGUCUCUCCUCUCACAGAUACCAGUCCUCACACCAGUCUCUCCUCUCCUCACACAGAUACCAGUUAGAUACUAGUCCUCACACCAGUCUCUCCUCUCCUCACACAGAUACCAGUUAGAUACUAGUCCUCACACAGGUACCAGUUAGAUACCAGUCCUCACACAGAUACCAGUUAGAUACUAGUCCUCACACCAGUCUCUCCUCUCCUCACACAGAUACCAGUUAGAUACUAGUCCUCACACCAGUCUCUCCUCUCCUCACACAGAUACCAGUUAGAUACUAGUCCUCACACCAGUCUCUCCUCUCCUCACACAGAUACCAGUUAGAUACUAGUCCUCACACAGGUACCAGUUAGAUACCAGUCCUCACACAGAUACCAGUUAGAUACUAGUCCUCACACCAGUCUCUCCUCUCCUCACACAGAUACCAGUUAGAUACUAGUCCUCACACCAGUCUCUCCUCUCCUCACACAGAUACCAGUUAGAUACUAGUCCUCACACCAGUCUCUCCUCUCCUCACACAGAUACCAGUUAGAUACUAGUCCUCACACAGGUACCAGUUAGAUACCAGUCCUCACACAGAUACCAGUUAGAUACCAGUCCUCACACAGAUACCAGUUAGAUACUAGUCCUCACACCAGUCUCUCCUCUCCUCACACAGAUACCAGUUAGAUACUAGUCCUCACACAGGUACCAGUUAGAUACCAGUCCUCACACAGAUACCAGUUAGAUACUAGUCCUCACACCAGUCUCUCCUCUCACAGAUACCAGUCCUCACACAGAUACCAGUUAGAUACUAUUCCUCACACAGAUACCAGUUAGAUACUAGUCCUCACACAGUUACCAGUUAGAUACCAGUCCUCACACAGAUACCAGUUAGAUACUAGUCCUCACACCAGUCUCUCCUCUCCUCACAUAGGUACCAGUUAGAUACUAGUCCUCACACCAGUCUCUCCCCUCCUCACACAGAUACCAGUUAGAUACUAGUUCUCACACAGAUACCAGUUAGAUACCAGUCCUCACACCAGUCUCUCCUCUCCUCACACAGAUACCAGUUAGAUACUAGUCCUCACACCAGUCUCUCCUCUCCUCACACAGAUACCAGUUAGAUACUAGUCCUCACACCAGUCUCUCCUCUCCUCACACAGAUACCAGUUAGAUACCAGUCCUCACACAGGUACCAGUUAGAUACCAGUCCUCACACCAGUCUCUCCUCUCCUCACACAGAUACCAGUUAGAUACUAGUCCUCACACCAGUCUCUCCUCUCCUCACACAGGUACCAGUUAGAUACCAGUCCUCACACAGGUACCAGUUAGAUACCAGUCCUCACACAGAUACCAGUUAGAUACCAGUCCUCACACAGAUACCAGUUAGAUACUAGUCCUCACACAGAUACCAGUUAGAUACCAGUCCUCACACAGAUACCAGUUAGAUACCAGUCCUCACACAGAUACCAGUUAGAUACUAGUCCUCACACCAGUCUCUCCUCUCACAGAUACCAGUCCUCACACAGAUACCAGUUAGAUACUAUUCCUCACACAGAUACCAGUUAGAUACUAGUCCUCACACAGUUACCAGUUAGAUACCAGUCCUCACACAGAUACCAGUUAGAUACUAGUCCUCACACAGUUACCAGUUAGAUACCAGUCCUCACAUAGGUACCAGUUAGAUACUAGUCCUCACACCAGUCUCUCCCCUCCUCACACAGAUACCAGUUAGAUACUAGUUCUCACACAGAUACCAGUUAGAUACCAGUCCUCACACCAGUCUCUCCUCUCCUCACACAGAUACCAGUUAGAUACUAGUCCUCACACCAGUCUCUCCUCUCCUCACACAGAUACCAGUUAGAUACUAGUCCUCACACCAGUCUCUCCUCUCCUCACACAGAUACCAGUUAGAUACCAGUCCUCACACAGGUACCAGUUAGAUACCAGUCCUCACACCAGUCUCUCCUCUCCUCACACAGAUACCAGUUAGAUACUAGUCCUCACACCAGUCUCUCCUCUCCUCACACAGAUACCAGUUAGAUACUAGUCCUCACACCAGUCUCUCCUCUCCUCACACAGAUACCAGUUAGAUACCAGUCCUCACACAGGUACCAGUUAGAUACCAGUCCUCACACCAGUCUCUCCUCUCCUCACACAGAUACCAGUUAGAUACCAGUCCUCACACCAGUCUCUCCUCUCCUCACACAGAUACCAGUUAGAUACUAGUCCUCACACCAGUCUCUCCUCUCCUCACACAGAUACCAGUUAGAUACCAGUCCUCACACAGAUACCAGUUAGAUACUAGUCCUCACACCAGUCUCUCCUCUCCUCACACAGAUACCAGUUAGAUACCAGUCCUCACACAGGUACCAGUUAGAUACCAGUCCUCACACCAGUCUCUCCUCUCCUCACACAGAUACCAGU